rnacentral:rRNA from 1 species
UGGGGAAUUUUGGACAAUGGGCGAAAGCCGAUCCAGCAAUGCCGCGUGUGUGAAGAAGGCCUUCGGGUUGUAAAGCACUUUUGUCCGGAAAGAAAUCCUUGGCUCUAAUACAGUCGGGGGAUGACGGUACCGGAAGAAUAAGCACCGGCUAACUACGUGCCAGCAGCCGCGGUAAUACGUAGGGUGCAAGCGUUAAUCGGAAUUACUGGGCGUAAAGCGUGCGCAGGCGGUUUGCUAAGACCGAUGUGAAAUCCCCGGGCUCAACCUGGGAACUGCAUUGGUGACUGGCAGGCUAGAGUAUGGCAGAGGGGGGUAGAAUUCCACGUGUAGCAGUGAAAUGCGUAGAGAUGUGGAGGAAUACCGAUGGCGAAGGCAGCCCCCUGGGCCAAUACUGACGCUCAUGCACGAAAGCGUGGGGAGCAAACAGGAUUAGAUACCCUGGUAGUCCACGCCCUAAACGAUGUCAACUAGUUGUUGGGGAUUCAUUUCCUUAGUAACGUAGCUAACGCGUGAAGUUGACCGCCU